ACCACACAAGUAUUUUGUUCAUUAAUUAAAACAUUGUACAGAUUAAUUAAUUAAUUCAUACAUUUCUUCACAUUAAACAUGUAUAAGAAACUUAAUCAUGAUUUUACUUGAUUAAGUAAAAAGAUCGAAAGCACAUAACACCUUUUAAUAGAAUUGGAUAAAACAAACUACAAAAAUUAGAUCAUUCUAACACUAACGAAUUUAAGUGAUCAUGAUUAUAUUGAAAAUAAAACACUCAGUUGCAAUUAUGUUUAUGAAUUGAACAAAACAAAAGAUCAAAAGGGAAGAAGAAACUCUAGUCAAUUCUAGAAGAUCCUCGAGGCAUAAAUUACUUUCCCCUUAUGUUCUUCUUUCUUGCCAUCACAACUAAGCAAAGAUAAUCUUAAUAUAGUCGAUAAGGGAUACUCUCAAAGCUGUACAAAGCUCUUUUUAAAGACAAAAGAAAUAGGGAAUGGAAAGGAGAGAAAAGAGAAAACAAAUGGAGAGGAAAGAAUAAACAAUUA
rnacentral:lncRNA from 1 species